rnacentral:rRNA from 1 species
UGUGCGAAGAAGGCCUUCGGGUUGUAAAGCACUUUUGUCAGGGAAGAAAUCCUUUGGGCUAAUACCCUAGGGGGAUGACGGUGCCUGAAGAAUAAGCACCGGCUAACUACGUGCCAGCAGCCGCGGUAAUACGUAGGGUGCAAGCGUUAAUCGGAAUUACUGGGCGUAAAGCGUGCGCAGGCGGUUGUGUAAGACCGAUGUGAAAGCCCCGGGCUUAACCUGGGAAUGGCAUUGGUGACUGAGAGGCUAGAGUGUGUCAGAGGGGGGUAGAAUUCCACGUGUAGCAGUGAAAUGCGUAGAGAUGUGGAGGAAUACCGAUGGCGAAGGCAGCCCCCUGGGAUAACACUGACGCUCAUGCACGAAAGCGUGGGGAGCAAACAGGAUUAGAUACCCUGGUAGUCCACGCCCUAAACGA